UACGUAGGGUGCAAGCGUUGUCCGGAAUUAUUGGGCGUAAAGAGCUUGUAGGCGGUUUGUCGCGUCUGCUGUGAAAUUUCGGGGCUCAACCCCGAACUUGCAGUGGGUACGGGCAGGCUAGAGUGUGGUAGGGGAGACUGGAAUUCCUGGUGUAGCGGUGAAAUGCGCAGAUAUCAGGAGGAACACCGAUGGCGAAGGCAGGUCUCUGGGCCGAUACUGACGCUGAGGAGCGAAAGCGUGGGGAGCAAACAGG
rnacentral:rRNA from 1 species